GGGGAACCCUGAUCCAGCCAUGCCGCGUGUGUGAAGAAGGCCUUUUGGUUGUAAAGCACUUUAGGCGAGGAGGAGGCUACUGGUAUUAAUACUACCGGAUAGUGGACGUUACUCGCAGAAUAAGCAUCGGCUAACUCUGUGCCAGCAGCCGCGGUAAUACAGAGGGUGCGAGCGUUAAUCGGAUUUACUGGGCGUAAAGCGUGCGUAGGCGGCUUUUUAAGUCGGAUGUGAAAUCCCUGAGCUUAACUUAGGAAUUGCAUUCGAUACUGGGAGGCUAGAGUAUGGGAGAGGAUGGUAGAAUUCCAGGUGUAGCGGUGAAAUGCGUAGAGAUCUGGAGGAAUACCGAUGGCGAAGGCAGCCAUCUGGCCUAAUACUGACGCUGAGGUACGAAAGCAUGGGGAGCAAACAGGAUUAGAUACCCUGGUAGUCCAUGCCGUAAACGAUGUCUACUAGCCGUUGGGGCCUUUGAGGCUUUAGUGGCGCAGCUAACGCGAUAAGUAGACCGCCUGGGGAGU
rnacentral:rRNA from 1 species